UAGGUAUGCAUCUGAUGAGAUGGCGAAGACAUUUUUAACAUCUUUAUCAGGUGGAGGAGAGUGGAGGGGUGUAAGAUUAGAAGCAAGGAUACCAGUAGGAUGCAGUUACAGCAAUCCAGGUGGCUGUACUACAAUUGUAAUAACAUCACAUCUGUGCUGGGAGCAGUGGACAUCUCCGGAGGGGGCCACCUGAACAGAUGCUGGCUGUCUCGUGCCGAGGCCCCGCGCCAGAUCACGGAACUGUGAAGUGAUCCUGGGCAGAG